UCUGCCUGGGGCCUUGCACCUGCACCCCCCAACCGUGAGCCUUCAGGAGUCAGCCCUGUUCCAGCCACUGGGACAGGUUUUCCUUCCAAGCCUCACACCUGUGCACCCAUCAAUGUGGGCAGCCCCAGUGUCUCCCGCCCGGCCCUGGACGGCAGCCAUCGGGAAGGAUGGGUCUGCAGCACCAGGCUGUCCUGGGGCCCUGAUCCAUCCCAUCGCAGAGUGGGUUGGGUGGAUGUGUGUUGAAUGAAUGAAUGAAUGAAUGAAUGAAUGGAGUGGCUCACCUAUUGUUCCGUCAUGCACUUAUCUGCUGAGUCCCCAAACUGCACAGCCCCCCCAUCACCUCCCACCUCUCCCUGGCCCCUGGAAACAAAGAGAGGGCCUUUCUCUACCUCUGCCAAGAGCAGGCUGUCCACCCCUAGGAGGCUGUGCCUGAGCCCAGUAUGGUUGGUUCCCCUGUAUCCCCCAUGGGCAUCCUCUACCCUAUGCCCCCCACCAGGCUGAAGCCCCACAUCCUGGGAGCUGCUGGGGCCUGGCACAGAGUGAGCACCUGGUCUCCAUGUCCCCCAUGGAGGGGGCUCCUCAUGAAGGGGCUGCGGGAGGGAGGUUCUGACUUGAACACUCACCCCCUCUGUCCCUGGCCCAGGCCUCGAGCAGGGCGGGGCCACCUCCUCCCCUCUGCCUCCCCCAGUCAGGAGACUGCCUGCCUGCCUCUAAUCUGACCUUGAUCCUCUCCCCAUCAGGUUAGGACCCCUCACCGGUUUGGGGCAGGAAGACAAUGGUAUCC
rnacentral:lncRNA from 1 species